GUUGAAAGUGGUGUGAAUUGUUGUUGAGAAAAUGAUUAAACUCAAUUGAGUGACUCUGCUUCUAAAGGUGUUGGUGUGGAGAGUUGAUUGAAGCUAUAUAUAUGCUACACAUCAUCACCAUUGAAGAAAAGGUGUCCCUUCCCACCAUUGAAGAAAAGGAUUCCCUUCCCUACAACCUACAGCUUUAUAGGAUUGAUUCUUGUGGAAAAAGCGAGUAAUACAGGCGCAAUCAAAAAGACAAACUACCGAUCCACUAUGACCAACAUCAAUUCCUAAGGAACCUACAAAGCCUAACAGAUAUUCCAGUGACUGAUGGGAGGUAAAUCCAACACAAGCCACCAACUCUAAUGAUCACAAAAUCAAGACAGAAGUCGCAGGCUGCUCAGAUUUUGUGUCCCGAUCAGAAGUGAUUGUAGUUGGAGUAUUUUGGUAAUUUCCUUCUAUUGGUGUCCAGAGAAAACAAUAAAUUUAUUCAAAUUUUAGCAUGGGUGUCCAAAGAUGGAUUUUGGGUGCAGACCUGAGCUCACUAACAUUUGACGCACCAAGCCCAACAACCCAAGUCCAACUUAGCCUAUUGCUCCACUAUAGCCUAACACUCCCCUUUCUUUUUCCUUUUUUUUUUUAAAAAAAAUUUAUUU